AGCCAAAAAAAAAAAAAAGAUGGGGCAUCAAAUGUGAAGACCAUGUUAGCAUCUACCAGAGAGUAUAUACCGUGGAAGAAGCAUUAAAUAACCACGUAUAUGCAGUUGACAUCAGCCACAUCUAAGGCCACCCCAGCGCUGGCACAAGGGAUUCCUGUGUCAGCACCAUGCUCUAAUCAGCUGAGCUAAGGGGUGCCUAUAAGCAGUAACCAUGGUGGCAUGGAGAGAGGGUACAUAUAGGCCCAAUUGCAUGGGUCCCCACUCCCUGAGACUGAUCGAGCUGUUGCUGAUGCUGAGUGUUCAACUCGCCAAUUACAAAGACCAACUCCGAGUCUCAGCUAUGUCUCUAUCCCUUGAGGAACACAACCAGCCACUUGACAAGUUGAUGAUAUUAAACCCCUGCUACCUUGGGAAAAAACUGUGAUUCAUCUUCACUGAAAUAGGCGUAUGUCCUAGAUAGAAGGUGCUUUGCUGGUAGGGCUUCCUCCUGUACAACAACUCAAGGGUUUACAGAGUAAACCUUAGUCUACCAGAUGGGAUCCCGUAUGACUCUACAGCAGUGGGAGCAUGGCCGUGGAGGCGUCUCAUCCUGUCACGUGCUGCACCAUUUUGAAGCUGCCAGCUUGGAUCUGUAGGUGGCUCAGCUGAGGCACUAGCUCAGAAACAAAACUCUGAGGAUAGGGCGCCAUCCUCCAGGAUGCAGCAUAUAUUCUGAAUCGAAGACCAUUACAUGGCGUUUUUCUCCAAUAGGUAGAAUGCAUGGGUCCAGCAAUCGGGAUGAAAGCAGGAGUGGUCUUAUGGGUACCGUCACUCCCAGGGAGCAUCUGUGCUUCCUGUCCCCAUGAUGCUAGGUUCUGCCAGUUUGGAGGUCCUGAUCCUCAAAGAGACAACACUUCAGCCAGGGGAAACAUCAAGAUGACUAUUGAACUUUUCGCUAGGUCUGCCACCCAGGCACUUUGAGCUCCUUGUGUCAAGGGACCAGCAGGCAAGAAGAAGUCACCAUUCUUUCAGGGAUAAUUAACCCUGAUCAUCAGGAGGAGGUAAGGCUGCUGUUAAGCAGUGGAGCAGGGAGGUACAUCUUUGGUACCCAGUUGAGCCAUUUGGAAACCCCUUGAUGCUCCCUUGUCUAAUGCUUAACAGUAAAUAGGCAAGUGCAGGGCCAUGCCCUAAGAGGAUAAGUUGACCACAGGCUCAGGCCUUUCAGGACAGAGGGUCUAGAUCAUGCCACCACAUAGGUCACGGAGACCAGAAGAGAUGGCUAGCUGAGACCUGCAAGAGCUGCUCCCAGAAAUUAAAAGAAGUUUAGCUGGAUGGCCCAAGGUGUGGGCUCUAGAGGUUGCUCUUCUGCGCUGCCCAGCCCCCAUCCCUAUGACCAAUGCAGCUAUUCCCCUUCAGCUAGCAGCCCUUGCUGGGAAUUCCCUCAGCUGGAAAGAGUUACCUCACCCCAGGUCAUACCCCUUCUCCAGGGCAGGUUGAUUCAGGGUUAUAAAGGACUGUUUCCAUUGCCCCAAUUCAGCACAACUCUGAAGGACCAUCCCAACUUCACAGCUCUGUGGCACUGGCUGAGGUCUCAACUACAGCAUCGCCCAAUUGAUCUCUGCUUAAUCUUGCUCCUCUUCCUCCCUCCACCCAAGGACAACUCCUAAUAAGUGCCCUCUAUGCACAUCUCACUUUGGGCUACUAGCCUGACGCAGAGAGCAGGGCUGCCUGAGAAAGCACUAAAGGUUGCAUUGCUUCAGAGCCAGAAAAUGAAGACAUGGCCCAUAGGAGAUUCGCUUCAGAGGUGAGAAGGCUGAGGUGUCUACCCAAGGUCACGCAGGUAGCAAACAUUGGAGCCCGAGAUGGACCAGGAGUGGUCUGCCUGCAGAACCUCAGCCCAGACCUUGAUGCCAGGGCCCUUGAAGAAGACCAGCUGCUGAGGCUCUUUUCUCCGUGAGUUACCAGCUCCUCUGCACCCCUGGCCCUGAUUUGCUGACACUUGACUGUAAGCAUCGUGAAGUCAGGAAUCACCUUUGAUCAGCUCAGCUCUGUGUGUCUGGCACCUGUCACAUCAGUAAGUACAAGGCUGGAAAUCUGUGGAUGUUUGCUGAAUUGUUUAAGGAACUGUAAUUGAACUACAUUUUUUUAAAUUGAUGCCAGUGGCUGGCACAGCCAAUUUGGAGACUUCUAUUAUGAAAGGACUCACUUGAGUGAUUCAUUAUGCAAAUAUAAAGGUGAACAGGGGAAAGUGAUGUAUUAUAAAUAUAUUUUUGUUUAUUUUUCAUUAACAAGAUUGCUCCACUUCUUGAUAUAUAGGGCUCUGGGGAGGGCUGGACCAAUUUGCAUAAGGAUGCAGAAGUCUUCUCAGGGAAGCAUUGGGGAGCCAACCCCUGCUCACUGUGAUGUAAACUUAGAAAAAUAUGGGUGGCCUGGAGUAGUUCUGAGUAGAUCGGCGUAGCUCUGCG